CACUAGAUCCCGGUCCCAGCCGCCCGCGUCGUUCCUCUUCUUCCUCAAAACGCAAUCUCUCCGAAUUCUCCCCAUCAUCGCCAUCGACGGCUUCCCAGGCCGGGGGAGGAAGAACUCCGUUUCGGACCCGGCGUCCGUGUCCGUUAUCGUCCGUCGGUUUCCGUGUCCGAUUCUGUUCUUCUCCAUAUGUUGAUAUAGAUAGAUCGAUCGAUCGGAUCCCCCACCCACACACCACACCACAUCCGCCGCGACACAGCAAGAAGAGGAGAGCAGAGGAGAGGAAGCAGAGUGUUGGAAAGAAACAAGGAAUAAGCCGGCGGCCGGAGAUGAAGUCCGGCAAGCCGAUCUGCGAGAAGGUGAAGCCCGCAGUAGCAGUCCGCAUAUUCGGCGGGCUACGUUACGCUCCGCCGGAUGGCCUGGUCGUCAACAAUCCUCUACUGGCUGCCUUCAUCCGAGCUGUUUACACCUUAUACAUGGCUACGACAGUGUUUCUCUACAUUUUUGGCAUGGUUACUGCUAUCAAGGAAUACGAAAUGUUGGUGGCACUGUCCAUAAUUGUAGUCAUGCAGCCCUUCUUCAUAUUGAUGUGGAUUGCAGCACCAUUCCUUAGGACUGUAGCAAUUGUGAAAUAUGCGAUGGGACUCCCUGAUAGUAAUAACGUCAACAGAAUUACAACAGGAAGGAUGUCAGCCCUAGCCUGAACAAAGUAUGCCUAAGAAGGGUUGUUCAAGUUUAUCAUAAUUGUGCCCUCUUUAGAAAUAGGGCACUUUAAGUUGCUGUCUUCUUUAGAAGACCUUUUAGAUUCAGAUGUGUAUUUCUUAGAACAUAUGUUAACAGUGGCGUAGCUAGCUUAUAGUCCAUAUGGGCACAGGACUACCCUAGAUUUUAGCAUAGAGACCUUAAUCCCUACUAUCAAAAUUCAUGGAUCAUUUGCAAAACAAACUAUACAUACUUAUCAUGCUUCUUAAACUUGUUAGUUGGGACUA